ACUGAAUAGGUAGGGGGGGGUUUGCGUCCGUCAUCCGCAUUUGAAGCAGCUUAAUUAGUGCCCAUUUAUCGCCCAUUAAAGCUAGAUAAUACCAGUAACCAGUAACAGCUGCUACAACAGACCACCAGUACUGUACUGGGGCAUUUCCAAUCUGCUGCCAGAAAAAAAAAAACUGGGAUCAGACAUUACAAACUAAAUUAAAGCCACAGCGAGUAAAGUGCUUAAUGACGUUGUAAAUGAUUAUGUUUUGGUUUCCGGGUCAUUUUGAAGGAGGCCACGUGCGCUGCGGUGGACGCGGUGUUCAGGAUCUGCGCCGCGGCGCAAGCACCAGCGUGCGCAGGCAGCGGAGGUGGGCUGUUACCCUCUGGUGGCCAAGUGGCGGGUGCAGCUGUUUAGUGCUUAGCGCAAGCAUGAGAUGAGAUGAUAGUGUGUGUGGAUCCUGCGUCCGCGGGUGCAGACGCCCCGUGCGGCGAGAACGUGGUCGCUCAUUAGCUGCACACUAAACCCUGCCAGAGAGAAAUGAAUGAGAUUUAAAGUGAAAGGAAAUGUUGCUCUUGUUGUCAAUCAUCAGUUUUUCAUCACUCAAACACAUAAUGUUGUUUUAUCGAUUUGAUGCUUUGUGUUGUGUCCCUUUUUACUGUAUAUAAAAUCAGAUAAAGUUAAGUUAAAAAAAUGUUUGCCAGGUUUGUGCUUUUUGGUCCAGAGCUAAAAGAUAAUGUCAGGUGUGUGUGUGUGUGUGUGUGCGCGUGUGCGUGUGUGUGUGUGUCCACAACCCCUAAGUGUCAUGUUUUAAAAAUGGCUGCAUGAGGAAAAAAACAGCAAAGCUCUCUUCAAAUGCCACCAAAUCUAUUUGUGUAACGUGCAGCGGGAAGAACAGAACAUCUCAGCUCAGAUGCCGUCAUUAGUGCGACUUGGGGUCGUAUCCGUGGUGAAGUAGGUCAGAGUCGGGUUAAGAGCAGAGACGGAUCCGGACGGGAGGCGCCGGGAGAGCGGAGGACGCGUGGACCGGCCACACCUGCACGCUGCAUGUCAGUCCAGCCACAUCCGCAUCUACACGGCUUUAAUACAGUUUUUGGAUGAUUUGCAAGUGUUGCUGGAGAUUUCAUCUUCUCAGUUUAUUUUCCCUCGUGCUUGCACCUCGAUAGUAGGUGAAGAUGUGCCAGGAAUUUCUACUUUGCGCGUACAAGGUUAGAAUUUCUCAGCCUUCACGCGGCUGGUGAUUCUACAGCGCUGUACGUUCAGCUUUGAGGUCAUCGCACUGUAGGUAAAUGAGUCACAUUUGAGUGCAUUACUCUAUGUUCUUAUUAUAAUCCUCUCAAUAGAAUACACUCAAGUAUUUCCAUCCCUGCCAAUAUAUAUAGUUCUGUAUAGAAAUUUCAGGAAAUAUAAUAUAAAGAGUAUAUAGAUUACAUUCUAAGCAUUUAAAGGCAGAAUUUAUGAGCUGCUGUGUUAGAUAGUGCAGCUGUUCCAAAUAAAGCGUCCAGUGAGUGUGGUACAGAAUAAACAGAUGUGAAGUGAUCUCAGAAUGUAGAAAAGUCUUGUCAGGAUCCCUCACGUCAGCAUGGUGAAAACUGCACAAGCGCUGGUUAAUUCUGUUUUCUGGUUAUAUUCACCAGCUGGAUGCAAACGUUAUUGUGCUUUCUACCGUCGUUUCCUCAUGACACGACAUGAAAACGCUAUUAAGCUGUCAUCCUGCUUUUUGCUUUUUUUUUUUUUUUUUUUUACUUUUCUGCACACCUCCACCGUCAACAGAACGCAUAAUCCCAUUAUGUUGGAAUGAAUGUGCUGAUGUGGCCACACAGUGAGAUGUGAAAACAUUAGGGAUCACCCCUCCACACACACACACACGCGCGCGCGCGCGCACACCUCUGGGUCGAAGCGUCAAACCAAUGAACGCGCCUGUUGCAGCCGAGUGCGGUGCAGAGGCUUCGCGUGAGCCCCACGUGGGCCCGACAUGCGCUCACGCGCCCGCACGCUCACCUCCCCGCCGCCUCGGGCUUGAUGUCGCCUCGUAGCUGUGGCGGGCUCGCGCUCGCGCUCUUCAUGGGUCGCGUUGAUGAGCGCGCCGUUGUGCUACGCAGACGCUCGUCUCGCAAUCAGAUGAAUUGCAGCUGUUUUUGAAAUUGACUGCUCCACACGUGAUGAGGCAACUUUCCUCCUCCACUAAUUGUUGCCUUGAAGGGCACUUGUGUCAAACACCGUGAUUACUGCAUUAGUGUGUAUGCAUACAUCCUGAUCCGAGUGGAUACCUCUGUCUGAGGCCGCUCCCCGGCAGAUGGAAGCUGUCAUUGCUCUCUUUCUCUCUGUCACUUCCUCCAUCUCUUCGCGUCCUCGUUCACACGUCCUCUCCCGCACAUGUCUCCGCGUGGCAUGUUUGCGUGCGUGCUCUCUCCCGCUCGCGCGUGCGGACCGCUUUGUGCUCCAGACACAGGUCGUCAUGCGUGUCCAAAGCGGCGGGCGGCUCGAGCUCACGUGGACGUGGACGUGAACGCAGCAUAGCAAACAUCUGUUGUGUAAGCCAUUAACACCCCGCCACGAGAGUGCGAAUGGAAAGGAAGAGGGAUUUGAGUGUCGCCGCGUAUCUGCUAAGAUGGCUGGAGACGCGCUGAACGGCGGCCGCGGGAACACUUCAAGUGUGCCGAGCUAACGAAGGUGCGUUCACGUGCGUUCACUGGCCGAGCGUGAGUUAGAAAAAAAAUAAAAGUACAGGUUGCAUGUUCCAGGUUUGGGUUGCAUAAGAAACACAACGAAAACACUUUCAGCAUCAUUAUUUAAGUCAUAUAUUUUCUUGAUAAUUACUAAACGAAUAGUAAGCAACAACAAAAAGCUGGGACUUCUCUAGUUUUCUGUAAGUUCUUAAACUUUGAGAUGACUAUUGUUGUGAAUUGUGAACAAAGUGAACUAAACGGCAUUUAUUACAUGUGUUCACACAAACGGCAACUGUUGGUAGAAUUAUACAGUGUGAUGAUCUUGCAGCAUAAGUGGUUUUGGGUAAUUCACAGCUCUUGUACAGCAGAAUGAUGAUACCGGCCGGGUUGUUAUAAAACUUAAUGUACUUGAGUUAAUUCUCCGUCUGUAUGGACUCGUUUUAAAAAGUCUACCAGCUUUUCCAUUUACUUUUAGUUCAUCUCAGAGGAGCUACUGUGUGUACACUGUGAUCAUACACUAGUAAUCUAAGGCUGAGUUAAACACGGAGUUCCAUGUAUUUCUAUGGACAGACAGUUAGGUUUGUAUUCAUGUAACAGUAUUACGAGCUGCCCCAUGUUCUGAGCAGUAUAAAGUAGAGCCAAGGACCUUUUGAGGCCUCAAUGCUGAUACUGGAAGCUUACACCAUGGUGUAAUGUUGGUCCUUACUAUCAUUUUAUUUAGCUAAACGUGUCUGCUGGUGUUUGAUAUCUAGUUCAAAAACGUCAGCCAAUCCUAAACGGUCUGCGGCCGCUCACACGCUUCACGGACCUGAGUUUAUUGAAGUGGAGAAGCCUUUUCUGUCGAUCCAACUUUUCUGUGUCCAACCUUUCAUUGGAAGAUGAUGAAUAAUGAAUGAAUGGCUCAUUCGUUAAAGCAUAAUUGCUGAUGUCAGCACAGAUUCGGAGUUAUUCCGCGCCGCGCGCCACCUGCAGAGACGUGCGUCGCGUGACCGCGGCGUGUUGUCGCGCUUCUUGCGGUCGCAGACCUUUCUGAUUCCUCAGCUCGUGCUCACGGCUGGAUGGUUCUGAACACAAGCGUCAGGAGCAAACGCCGUGGCGUGUGUAACAGAUGACCUUUCCGGGCUUUCAUUUAAUUUGAUUUACUGUAUUAUUUCGUCGGAAAUGUCACACGGAAUAACGGCCGCUUGUGCGCCGCUUCGUACUGCGUGGCGCGUGCUCUGUGUAAGCAGUCAGGCGAGAUGAAAGAGUCCUUAGUUUAAGCUGAUCCACCCGUCACAUGUGCCCACGUCUGCACCUCUGAUGUCGUCAUUUGCCAUGGUAACCAAACAGCAUGUCAUAGAAAUCUGACAUAUUCACUACAUCUCAUCCGCCGAAAAUCUAGAGCAUGAGACUGAAAAAGCUGAUGUGUUACUAUGGCAACGUCAUUUGGAUGAACAUUUCAGUGGCAGCUGAGCAACUUCAUAGGGAUAAGGUCUUUAUUUUUUCAUCGCAUGACGUUUAUGGAGAACAGCGAUGUAAACAGGUCAGAGGACAUUGAAUGGCCUUUCUGUCCAUUUCCUGGUCUUAACACCGAAUAAAGUUAUUAUUCAGAACGUUAGUAUCUGCUUUAAAAGCUGCUUUAAAUCUGCUGAAGUGUGGAAGGGUGAUUGGGUGAAGUAUAGUCUUUAAGCUUUUAUCUACUGGUGCUGGGGGUUUAGUCCUAAAAAGUGAGCUUGGGCGCUUAUUUGCGAAUCAGGGUUUGCUCAUCACUAACGACUGAGGAAAUUCAACUCAGCGGAGUGGACUUGAUGGAUGUGCCUCCCACCGUUUCACCCAAAGAGUCGUCCUGUCUGAAGGCAAGACUCCUACGACUGCUUCACAUAACAAGAGGCAUUACCUGCAUCGUCUGGUGCCCACUCAGUGGUCUGUACGACUAAAUGGAGCUCUCUGACAGUCCAGCGAGGGGGAAAUACUUCACCUUAAAUAUUUUCUUGGUAAUACUCCCUCGAAGCUUCGCCUCGUGGCUCCUAUUCAUUUUCAUUUACCUCUGCUCUCUUGUCAGAGUACAGUUCAGGAGGCAGCUCCCUCCUGGAUAACGGCAUCACAUCAAAUACACUUAAAACUACAACCGCUCCAGUCACAAGCACAGGGCCUUAGAAAUCGAGGCGACAGGAAGUCUGUGGUGACGGUUCAGCACUAUUUCAGUCCCUCGCUCCGUUCGUUACACAACGUAUACAAUCAGGCAGAGACACAUGGGACGCUGUCACCGCCGUCACCGGCUCGGCUGAGGAGCAAACGAGGAACAGCUGCGCCGCGAGUCGGCCGACGACGGGCGCAGUCGGGUGGAUCUGCCGCGGACAGGUGUGGAGCGACGCGACGGGCCCCAGAUGCAGCGAGAAAAAGAGGGGCCGACGGAGGACUGACACUCGUCUAUGUAACACAGCGGCACUUGAAAAUGAUACAGUAGAGGAGGCCCACCCGCUUGUUAUCAGCCAUAACGAAUGGGCUGAUCAGAACUUAUCAGCCCAUUCGUACGGGCCAGUAGGUGCCUGCUCUGCCUACUCGCUAACAGCUAGCAGCUAGCUAAGUUGCUACGUUCAGCAGCUUUAGAGGUUAUUGUGGUUAGGGUUAGGGCUGGAUAACGAGUGGGGGGUUCAGGUUACGGUUAGCUAACACAAUACCGCUAGCUAUUUGCAAAGUUAUGCUCGCUAAUAAAUCAAAAUCACAAACUUCGAUCCUCCCGUCUGAACAACAACCGCUCAACAGCGCCCCUACUGACUCUGCUGGUUAAAUCAUCCGAGCCGUGAUCAAUCUUAUGGACGACGACCUACUGCACCUAUUUACCGCUGCCAGUAGGUAGGUGGGACCUACCGGCCCAUACGUACAGUAUGGGCUGAUAACCACUCAUAAUGACCAUUGAAUGGCGUGAUAACUUCAAAAAGUGAGCUGUAAUAAACUCUGGGAGCUGAGUAAAAUAGUAACUCAAAGAGAA